AUACCGUGAAACUGCGAAUGGCUCAUUAAAUCAGUUAUCGUUUAUUUGAUAGUACCUUACUACUUGGAUAACCGUGGUAAUUCUAGAGCUAAUACAUGCUAAAAACCUCGACUUCGGGAGAGGUGUGUUUAUUAGAUAAAAAACCAAUGCCCUCCGGGGCUCCUUGGUGAUUCAUGAUAACUUCUCAGAUCGCAUGGCUACACGCCGGCGACGGUUCAUUCAAAUUUCUGCCCUAUCAACUUUCGAUGGUAAGGUAGUGGCUUACCAUGGUUUCAACGGGUAACGGGGAAUUAGGGUUCGAUUCCGGAGAGGGAGCCGGAGGAACGGCUACCACAUCCAAGGAAGGCAGCAGGCGCGCAAAUUACCCAAUGCCAAAUCGGCGAGGUAGCGACAAGAAAUACUGAUACAGGGCUCUUUUGGGUCUUGUAAUUGGAAUGAGUACAAUUUAAACCUCUUAACGAGGAACAAUUGGAGGGCAAGUCUGGUGCCAGCAGCCGCGGUAAUUCCAGCUCCAAUAGCGUAUAUUAAAGUUGUUGCAGUUAAAAAGCUCGUAGUUGAAC
rnacentral:rRNA from 1 species